AUUUGCACCUAGCACAAGUAUCACGGGUUUUGAUGUAUUGCAUAAUAUCAGCCAACAUACCAGGCCAAAAAAACAUGUCUUUUCAAACUCAUGUGAGUAGCAUGCAACCCUAAAUGUCCCCCAACUGUAGGGCUGUGAUAAAGUGUCAACAAAUUCUGCCUCAAAACUUUAGCAGCCCCCACAUAUAUUCUGUUCUUAUAAAGGAUCAUUCCAAUUUUCAACUUAUAAUCAGGAUGUGUAUUAGGA
rnacentral:misc_RNA from 1 species